CAGCAUGUAACCGAGGACUGCAGCUAACUUCAUAGCAGCAGCUUCUCCAUUAGCAUGCAAGAGGAACGGAGGGGCUUUGACAGCUUGGGUUUUCUGUAGUGUCCGUAGCUGUCACUCAACCCUCCCACAGAA